rnacentral:rRNA from 1 species
UACGUAGGGCGCAAGCGUUAUCCGGAAUUAUUGGGCGUAAAGAGCUCGUAGGCGGUUUGUCGCGUCUGCCGUGAAAGUCCGGGGCUCAACUCCGGAUCUGCGGUGGGUACGGGCAGACUAGAGUGAUGUAGGGGAGACUGGAAUUCCUGGUGUAGCGGUGAAAUACGCAGAUAUCAGGAGGAACACCGAUGGCGAAGGCAGGUCUCUGGGCAGUAACUGAUGCUGAGGAGCGAAAGCAUGGGGAGCGAACAGG